rnacentral:rRNA from 1 species
GAUGAACGCUGGCGGCGUGCCUAAUACAUGCAAGUCGAGCGAACAGAUAAGGAGCUUGCUCCUUUGAAGUUAGCGGCGGACGGGUGAGUCACACGUGGGUAACCUACCUAUAAGACUGGGAUAACUUCGGGAAACCGGAGCUAAUACCGGAUAACAUUUAGAACCGCAUGGUUCUAAAGUGAAAGAUGGUUUUGCUAUCACUUAUAGAUGGACCCGCGCCGUAUUAGCUAGUUGGUAAGGUAACGGCUUACCAAGGCGACGAUACGUAGCCGACCUGAGAGGGUGAUCGGCCACACUGGAACUGAGACACGGUCCAGACUCCUACGGGAGGCAGCAGUGGGGAAUCUUCGGCAAUGGGCGAAAGCCUGACGGAGCAACGCCGCGUGAGUGAUGAAGGGUUUCGGAUCGUAAAACUCUGUUAUUAGGGAAGAACAACUGUGUAAGUAACUGUGCACAUCUUGACGGUACCUAAUCAGAAAGCCACGGCUAACUACGUG